rnacentral:rRNA from 1 species
CGCUAUCACUCCUACGGGGAGGCAGCAGUAGGGAAUCUUCCACAAUGGGCGCAAGCCUGAUGGAGCAACACCGCGUGAGUGAAGAAGGGUUUCGGCUCGUAAAGCUCUGUUGUUAAAGAAGAACACGUAUGAGAGUAACUGUUCAUACGUUGACGGUAUUUAACCAGAAAGUCACGGCUAACUACGUGCCAGCAGCCGCGGUAAUACGUAGGUGGCAAGCGUUAUCCGGAUUUAUUGGGCGUAAAGAGAGUGCAGGCGGUUUCUAAGUCUGAUGUGAAAGCCUUCGGCUUAACCGGAGAAGUGCAUCGGAAACUGGAUAACUUGAGUGCAGAAGAGGGUAGUGGAACUCCAUGUGUAGCGGUGGAAUGCGUAGAUAUAUGGAAGAACACCAGUGGCGAAGGCGGCUACCUGGUCCGCAACUGACGCUGAGACUCGAAAGCAUGGGUAGCGAACAGGAUUAGAUACCCUGGUAG